GAUGAACGCUGACAGAAUGCUUAACACAUGCAAGUCUACUUGAUUCUACUUCGGUAGUUGAUGGUGGCGGACGGGUGAGUAACGCGUAAAGAAUCUGCCCUUUAGUUUGGGAUAACCUUUGGAAACGAAGGCUAAUACCGGAUAUUAUGGAGACGUCGCAUGCCGACUCCAUGAAAGCUAUAUGCGCUAGAGGAGGACUUUGCGUCCCAUUAGUUAGUUGGUGAGGUAAUGGCUCAACAAGACCGCGAUGGGUAGCCGGCCUGAGAGGGUGAUCGGCCACAAGGGAACUGAGACACGGUCCUUACUCCUACGGGAGGCAGCAGUGGGGAAUAUUGGACAAUGGGCCACAAGCCUGAUCCAGCAAUUCUGUGUGCACGAUGAAGGUCUUCGGAUUGUAAAGUGCUUUCAGUAGGGAAGAAAAAAAUGACGGUACCUACAGAAGAAGCGACGGCUAAAUAUGUGCCAGCAGCCGCGUAAGAC
rnacentral:rRNA from 1 species